rnacentral:misc_RNA from 1 species
AACGCACAUUGCGCCCGCCAGCAUCCUGGCGGGCAUGCCUGUCCGAGCGUCACACCCACCCGUCGAGCCCGGCUCGUGUUGGGGCACUGCGGCCGCCGCAGGCCCUCAAAUCCAGUGGCGGGGCGGCCCCCGCGCGGAGCGCAGCUGAGCACCUCGCUCCCGCGCGGCGGCGGCCCCGGCCUGCGGACCUCUGCUGAGGACCUCGGAUCAGGUAGGACUACCCGCUGAACUUAA